GCAGGUAUGGCGCAAUUCGGUAGACGCGGCAGUUUCAAAAACUGUUUGUUGAAGGUUCGAAUCCUUCUACCUGCA
rnacentral:tRNA from 2 species